UGGAUGCUAGAUCCCCACGUGGUAUCUCCCAUCCCGCAAAACCCACGGCGCCGCCGCCGCCGCCGCAGAAUACUUCCUCAUGCUGAUGGUGGCUCAGUAAUACUGUGAUCGGCCGCAUCGUGCGUUCCCACCUCUGCUGCAGUCCGUCGUCCGUUCAAGGCCAUGGCCAGGUGUGUACGUUCACGCACAAUGCCUAGGAUGAAGCCAUCACAGGCCAGUGCUGCAACUUCCUUUUCUCUUUUGCCGAUCUCGCGUUCUUCCUAUAUUGCAGAUCUUCCGAAAUUGUCCUGGGUUCAUGAGAAAAAAAACUGAUCUUGGGCUGGUUACGAGAUUGUUGUGUGAGUCCUACACACCUUGGCCUCUCCACCAACAUUACUCCAUGAGAGAAUUCUCCUUCAUGGUUGGAGAGCAGUAUGGCGUCGAACUCUCACAUUAGCAAAGCGAGGUACAUGCUUUUCCGGUUCUGCGUUGUGCACACCAGCAAUCGACUUGAGCAGCCUAAGAUGCAGUCCAAGGAUUCUGAAAAUAGCUGCACGUGCAGCCCAGCCUAUGCUAUUCUCUAAUUGGCAGAUAAAACUGCUUUGAAAAUUUAGAGCGCUCAAGAUGGUACGAGAUGUUUCACUUCAGAGGAUUCUCCGUCAUGGUUGGAGAGCAGUAUGGCGUCCAACUUUUAGAUUAGCAGAGCGAGGUGCAUGCUUUUUUGGUUCUGCGUUGUGCACAUACGCGAUCAACAGGAGCAGCCUAAGAUGCAAUCCAAGGAUCCCGAAAAUAGCUGCACGUGCAGCCCAGCCUAUGCCAUUCUCUAAUUGGAAGAUAAAUCUGCUUUGAAAAUUUAGAUCGCUCAAGAUGAGAGGUCUGUAAAAUAUAUAUUACAUAGUACAACUUAUCGACUGAGAAAGCAAUACCACCAGAGGCACAUUGCUCUGGGCGCAAUAGGACAUGGAAACAUCACACAACCUGGAUUGUUCAAGUCAGCGCUGCUGGGACGCGUUGUUCUGCAAGCCACAGCUGCUACCGUCCAGUUCAAUAGACCAGGAAAUCAAAACCUUCAUACAUUCAUGUUGAGAUGCAGGCGUGUCGUGUGUAUAAGCAUGAAGUGAAGUUUAUGUCGGUUGCUCCAUAGAUGGUACACGAGUAUAUACAGCAGGUAUAUUUGUAAAAAUAUAAUACAAUUUAUAGCUUACAUUAUCACAAUCGUUCCUUUAAAUAAAUUUGUUCUUUGCCAGUAGUAGUAAUUAAUCCCCCAUCUAUUGUCUCUUCUCAAUAUAUCAUACCUCAUGCUUUAUCUGUGUGAGUUACCAGAUCUCCAUUUCUCUUGGUCUAUGGCAGUUGCUGCGUGUUCGGCCAGGAGUAGUGUGAACUCUAAAGCAGCUUCAAUUACAGACGAUGGGCUCACAUCCAUCCCCAUAGCAUAAACAUCAUGCAUGUCACUGAUUCGUGCAUAUAGGUACAUCGGCAAAACAAGAUCAACAGGCUAGCACGUCCGACGCCCAUAGCUUAGUAUUGAUUGGUGCAAUCAUAUCUUAAUACUGAUCUACAUAUUUUCCACGGCAUUAAUCUUCCAACACAUAGAAGUGGAAUCCAUGUAAAAUCUAUGUGACGAUGAUGAUACUGAAUUGAGUCACUGAAUUGUGUCAUAUGUGUGAGAUUGAUUUCUGGCAGUGUAUAUGUAUGAUAUAAAAUCUAACAUGGAAGAUAUAUCUGAAUCUGAAAAUUAGUAUGUGCACAUGAUAUGUUCUCCUUCAGAACUUCAUCCAUUUUUCAGGUAUUCGAUCUACCGGAGGUUAUUCCUUCUCAGGUUCAUUCUUCUUAUGUUGAAGGUUCGGAUCUGCUAGAAUUCUUAUGUAGUUUUCCUCUACGUUUACUAACCUAUGCAAUCAAUUUGGCACCAACUUCAUAACCUGACCUUGACGUAAAUGGAGACAAAGUUAUACGAAAAGGCGUACAAGCAGUUACACAAGCACCCUGAUCUGCGCCUCUGUCAUAGUCAAGGUGCAUCGGUUCAUACAGUUCAGAGUCCAUAAGGAGCUUGUCCAAUUGUGAAUUAUAGGUUUGAUCUGGGGUUGCCACAUUUUGCAAAAGUAAUUCCUGGAAUUUUUUAAACCAGAAGGACACAACUGAAGUCGUGUGUUCUUUUGUUUCUUAUUGAAGUGCCAUAAUGUUGUUAUAUAAUGAACUAUAGAAACAAAUGCUUCUCAUCACCAGUCAACUAUUAGAAGUUUCAAUAGUACACAAAUACAUAUUCUUACUUCAUCUUGAUUAUUGCAGGAUACCAUGGCACAUGGUUUCGAAAGAAAAAAAAACCAUUGGGAAAAUCUGUACAAGAUAGUU